rnacentral:rRNA from 1 species
CCUACGGGAGGCAGCAGUGGGGAAUUGUUCGCAAUGGGCGCAAGCCUGACGACGCAACGCCGCGUGGAGGAUGAAGAUCUUCGGGUCGUAAACUCCUGUCGAGCGGGAAGAACACCCACCGGGUGAAUAACCCGGAGGGCUGACGGUACCGCUAAAGGAAGCCCCGGCUAACUCCGUGCCAGCAGCCGCGGUAAUACGGGGGGGGCAAGCGUUGUUCGGAAUUACUGGGCGUAAAGGGCUCGUAGGCGGCCAACUAAGUCGGACGUGAAAUCCCCAGGCUCAACCUGGGAACUGCGUCCGAUACUGGAUGGCUUGAAUCCGGGAGAGGGAUGCAGAAUUCCAGGUGUAGCGGUGAAAUGCGUAGAUAUCUGGAGGAAUACCGGUGGCGAAGGCGGCAUCCUGGACCGGCAUUGACGCUGAGGAGCGAAAGCCAGGGGAGC